UCAGACGAUGCGUCAUGCAUAUCAAUAAGCGAGGAAAAGAAACUAACAAGGAUUCCCCUAGUAACGGCGAGUGAAGCGGGAAGAGCUCAAAUUUGAAAUCUUAAAGGGUUUCCCUUUACGAAUUGUAGUUUAAAGAAGUGUUUUCUGUUGAGGUUUUGGUAAAAGUUCUUUGGAAUAGGACAUCAUAGAGGGUGAGAAUCCCGUAUUUGACCUUUACUUUCAACUUUGUGAUACACUUUCAAAGAGUCGGAUUGUUUGGGAAUGCAGUCCAAAAUGGGUGGUAAAUUUCAUCUAAAGCUAAAUAUUGGCGAGAGACCGAUAGCGAACAAGUACCGUGAGGGAAAGAUGAAAAGAACUUUGAAAAGAGAGUUAAACAGUACGUGAAAUUGUCAAAAGGGAAGCGUUUGACACCAGUGUUGCUUUUCUGAAAAUCAAUUAAAGAACUGUUUAUGCUAAGUUGUUUAGACUUUAUCAGCUAACUGUUUAGUUUUGAGCUUUUCUUUAAUGCACUUUUCAGUUAACAAGUCAACAUCAAUUUCUUUUGCUGUAAAAAAGCUUGAGGAAGGUGGCUUGAGAUUCGUCUUAAGUGUUUAUAGCCUCUUGCCUAUGCAGUCGGAGAGAUUGAGGUCUGCAGCGUAGAUCCUUCGGGGCUAAAUGCAUUUGUGCUAAGUUAUAGCAUUUUAUAGACAACUUGUUGACUAUGAUUUGUCUUGUAGCUUACUCGCUUAUGUUAUUUUACCUACGCUUAGGAUGUUGACACACGCGCGUGCUCG
rnacentral:rRNA from 1 species